rnacentral:lncRNA from 1 species
GUAAAAUUGUUCAUCAGGUCAAAAUCUAUCUGCCCUGAAAUUUUCAGAUGAAUCGGACAACCUGUUGUUGGGUUGCUGUCCCUGAAUUGGAAAUUUUAAGGAAAUUUUACUGUUUCUGGUUAUUAUCUUGAAUACUAUUAUAGAUAGAGAUAAACUGUAAACAGCAAUAAUGUUCAGCAAAGUAAGAUUUACAAAUAAGUCAACAUGACCAAAAUGGUCAGUUGACCAAUUUAGGAGUUAUUGCCCUUUAUAGUCAAUUUUUAACCAUUUUUCGUAAAUCUUAGUAAUCUUUUACAAAAAUCGUCUCCUCUGAAACCACUGGGCCA